AGCUCCAAUAGCGUAUAUUUAAGUUGUUGCAGUUAAAAAGCUCGUAGUUGGAUCUCAGAAGGACUUCAGUUGGUCGGCCUAACUGGUCAGAACCGGCUGUCUCUUUCUUGUUUCUGAAUCCCGCCUGAUGUUCAUUCAUCAGGUGUGGACUUCAGAUCGUUUACCUUGAAAAAAUUAGAGUGUUCAAAGCGGGCGUUUGCUUGAAUACAUUAGCAUGGAAUAAUGGAAUGGGACCCUGGUCUUAUUUUGUUGGUUUUGAGGACUAGAGUAAUGAUUAAUAGGGAUAGUUGGGGGCAUUCAUAUUUCAUUGUCAGAGGUGAAAUUCUUGGAUUUAUGAAAGAUGAACUUCUGCGAAAGCAUUUGCCAAGGAUGUUUUCA
rnacentral:rRNA from 1 species